GAUGAAUGCUGGCGGCGUGCCUAAUACAUGCAAGUCGAGCGAACGGACGAGAAUCUUGCUUCUCUGAUGUUAGCGGCGGACGGGUGAGUAACACGUGGAUAACCUACCUAUAAGACUGGGAUAACUUCGGGAAACCGUAGCUAAUACCGGAUAAUAUUUUGAACCGCAUGGUUCAAAAGUGAAAGACGGUCUUGCUGUCACUUAUAGAUGGAUCCGCGCUGCAUUAGCUAGUUGGUAAGGUAACGGCUUACCAAGGCAACGAUGCAUAGCCGACCUGAGAGGGUGGUCGGCCACACUGGAACUGAGACACGGUCCAGACUCCUACGGGAGGCAGCAGUAGGGAAUCUUCCGCAAUGGGCGAAAGCCUGACGGAGCAACGCCGCGUGAGUGAUGAAGGUCUUCGGAUCGUAAAACUCUGUUAUUAGGGAAGAACAUAUGUGUAAGUAACUGUGCACAUCUUGACGGUACCUAAUCAGAAAGCCACGGCUAACUACGUG
rnacentral:rRNA from 1 species